AUUCAAAUGUCUGUGCGCGCGAGAGCGGAGCUGAUGCUGAGGAGCUACAAACAUCAUUUCCAGACGGAUUUUCCAUCAUUAAAGUUAUGGUUUGUAACCCACCAUUGCUAGGUCUGAGCUUACGAGGCACCAUUUAGUCAGGAGUCAGAAGUGUAAAAAAGGAACCACUAUGAAUAUCACAAGCCAUUGGAGAACCACAACUGCAAUGAAAAUUGGAAUAGUAAACAUCAGCAGUUGCACUUCAAGAGCCCUGUCAAGUGUGCUAAAUGUCUCCGUUGUCCUGGAAGAGGGGGUGGUGAUUCACAACUUAGGAGACUUUGUAAAUGUAUUUAUUGUACUCUUUGGAUUAUUGUGUGCACUCAACAUGGAGUAUAACAAGGAUUUACAGUAAAAGGUUAGUUCACCAAAAAUUGAAAUUGUCAUUAAUUACUCACCCUCAUGUCAUACCCAAUCCCGUAAGACCUUCAGUCAUCUUCAGAACUAAGUAAAAUAUAUAAGUAAGAUAUUUUUGAUAAAUCCAAGAGCUCUCUGACCCUCCAUAGGAAGCUAUGCAACUUACACAUUCAAGUUCCAGAACAGUAGGAAAGACAUUAUUAAAGUAUUCGGUGAGUCCAGUGGUUUAACCUAAAUUUUAUGAAGCAACGCAAGAGUUUUGUUUGCAGAAAAAAACAAAAAACAAUUUACUACUUUAUUUACAAAAUAAUAUCCAAAAUGUGGUGGUGCUUCCCCUAUUGGGUUGCAGAUCGAUGUUUUAGUAAAUAAGGUGGUUAUUCAUUUAUUUAUUUAUUUUUGUGCAAACAAAGCACUCGCAUUGGUUCCUAAAAUUGAGGUUUAAACCACUGGAGUCACAUUGAUUACUCUAGUGAUGUCUUUCCUACUGUUCUGGACCUUGAAUGUGUAAGCUGCGUAGCUUUCUAUGGAGGGACGGAAAGCUCUCAGAUCUCAUCAAAAAAUAUCUUCAUUUGUGUUCUGAAGAUGAACAAAAGUCUUACAGAUGUGGAAUGACAUGAGGGUAAUUCAUGACAGAAUUUUCAUUUUUUUUAGGUACCUCUUAUGAGAUUAUUUAUUUAUUUUAUUUUAUUUUUUGGCAAACAUUUGAAGUGUAAGUUUCAUGAGCUCAGAGUACCUUUUGUGAGAAUGCUAAUAUUCAGGAGACAUUACACUAAACACUGGUUGAAGUAACCUCAAAUAAAUUAUUACAUUUGAUGGU